UCUCCCACGUGGAUGGAUGCCUCUUUCUAGCUCUGCCCCAAGACACACCCCAGCCCCUCCUUAGUCUGGGAAGGGGGGUUGGGGAGCCUCCCCCUACCCAGGGACCUCCCCUGCCCCUCCCCGCCCUGCCCAGCCGCCAACGUUACCACUCCCCAGAGGGCACAGGGCUCCGCGGUGCCUCGGAGCCAAAGCCCCAGUGCGAGCAGAGCCGGCCGCCCGCCUGGAAGCCAAAGUGGCUGCCAUUUGCGUAUUACGAGGUGGGGGACCCUGGGCAGGAAGCUGGCUGAGCCCCAAGACCUCAGGGGCCAUGGGCGGGGAGCUGGUGUCUGGCCUGGGGGCCCUGCGGCAGCGAAAGCGCCUGCUGGAGCAGGAGAAGUGCCUGGCCGGCUGGGCGCUGGCGCUGGCGGGAAUUGGCAUCGGACUCAUGGUGCUGCACGCGGAGAUGCUGUGGUUUGGGGGGUGCCCGUGGGCCCUCUACCUAUUCCUGGUCAAGUGCAUGAUCAGCAUUUCCACCAUCUUGCUCCUCUGCCUGAUCGUGGCCUUUCAUGCCAAAGAGAUCCAGUUGUUCAUGACUGACAACGGGCUCCGGGACUGGCGCGUGGCGCUGACUCCGCGGCAGGCGGCGCAGAUCGUGCUGGAGCUGGCGGUGUGCGGGCUGCACCCUGCACCCGUGCGGGGCCCGCCGUGCGCGACGGGGUCGGGCGAGAAGGGGACGCAGCCCUGGCCGAGCUUCCUGGACGAGGGGGAGGCGCUGCUGUCACUAGCCAUGCUGCUGCGCCUCUACCUGGUGCCCCGCGCGGUCCUCCUGCGCAGCGGCGUCCUGCUCAACGUGUCCUACCGCAGCAUCGGUGCUCUCAACCAGGUCCGCUUCCGCCACUGGUUCGUGGCCAAGCUGUACAUGAACACGCACCCGGGCCGCCUGCUGCUCGGCCUCACGCUUGGCCUCUGGCUCACCACAGCCUGGGUGCUGUCGGUGGCGGAGAGGCAGGCUGUUAAUGCCACUGGGCACCUCUCAGACACGUUGUGGCUGAUCCCCAUCACGUUCCUGACCAUCGGCUAUGGGGAUGUGGUGCCAGGUACCAUGUGGGGCAAGAUUGUCUGUCUCUGCACUGGAGUUAUGGGGGUGUGCUGCACAGCCCUGCUGGUGGCCGUGGUGGCCCGGAAGCUAGAGUUUAACAAGGCGGAGAAGCACGUGCACAACUUCAUGAUGGACAUCCAUUAUGCCAAGGAGAUGAAGGAGUCAGCCGCCCGCCUGCUGCAGGAGGCCUGGAUGUACUACAAACACACGCGCAGGAAGGACUCCAGGGCUGCCCGCAGGCAUCAGCGCAAGCUGCUGGCCGCCAUCCACACGUUCCGACAGGUGCGGCUGAAACACCGAAAGCUCCGAGAGCAAGUGAACUCCAUGGUGGACAUCUCCAAGAUGCACAUGAUCCUGUGUGACCUGCAGCUGGGCCUGAGCAGCUCGCACCGGGCCCUGGAGAAGCGGAUCGAUGCCUUGGCAGGGAAACUGGACGCCCUGACCGAGCUGCUGGGCACUGCCCUGAGGCCACAGCAGCUCCCAGAAGCCAGUCAGGAGGCCACGUAGCUGCUCUGUGCAGCCUGCGCUUAUGCCCCCCGCACCUGGUCUCCUGGUGCCAGCCCGCCCACCCUCUGCCUCCCGCCUCGCCCACUGCUUCUGUCGGCUUCCGUCUUGGAUCCAUGGAGGACAAUCAGGCUCCUUUCCCAAGAUGGAGGUCAAGGGCACCCUCCCUGCCGCUCCUGACCUAGCCCUGUGAAGAAAAUACCUCAAGGUGUGAGGACCAACGGGGGCCGCCUUGGGUGGCAGGAGCCAUCAGGGGAUGCGGCUGAAGGGGAAGCCUUGGACCUCCAGAGACCCCAGAUGGGAACAUGGCCACCACUACCCCCCACGCCCCCAUCAGGACCACUCUCACUGUGCUGCUAUAGAGGAUCUCUGGCUUUCGGUUAGAAGUGGAGGUACCUGCGCCUCCCCACCCUCUCCAGCUCCCCAGGGAGAAGGGCAGGAAGGGCCCAGAGUCCAGGAUGCUAGGAGGCUUCAGUUACCGCUGGACGGAAGAGCUGAAGGAACCGGGUCUGGGAGGCAGGGGGCGGCGCCCCCUGGCGGACAGCAAAGAGGACACUAUUUUUUUCCAGAGCUGCAGAGGAUACCAGGUGGGGAGGAAUGGCGAGGGGCGCACAGCUCACCGAUCUCUGCUCUUAUACUUUGUAAUAAAUGUUAAAAAAGGUCA